rnacentral:rRNA from 1 species
GAUGAACGCUGGCGGCGUGCCUAAUACAUGCAAGUCGAGCGAACAGAUAAGGAGCUUGCUCCUUUGACGUUAGCGGCGGACGGGUGAGUAACACGUGGGUAACCUACCUAUAAGACUGGGAUAACUUCGGGAAACCGGAGCUAAUCCCGGAUAAUAUUUCGAACCGCAUGGUUCGAUAGUGGAAGUUGGUUUUGGUAUCACUUAUAGAUGGACCCGCGCCGUAUUAGCUAGUUGGUAAGGUAACGGCUUACCAAGGCGACGAUACGUAGCCGACCUGAGAGGGUGAUCGGCCACACUGGAACUGAGACACGGUCCAGGCGCCUACGGGAGGCAGCAGUAGGGAAUCGUCCGCAGUGGGCGAAAGCCUGACGGAGCAACGCCGCGUGAGUGAUGAAGGUCUUCGGAUCGUAAAACUCUGUUAUUAGGGAAGAACAUACGUGUAAGUAACUGUGCACGUCUUGACGGUACCUAAUCAGAAAGCCACGGCUAACUACGUG